CUGAUGGCUUGUCCUACUAUGGAAUUUUAUCACUCCUGAGAGAGAACCCCAGUUUGCAUGUUCUGCUUGACCUAUCAGGGGAGGACAAAGAUCUGACAGCCAGUUUAAUUGCUGGGGUUCUCAGGCCAAGCUAUUCUGUUCUUGGGAGCAACAGAAGAGUUAGAGGGGAGCUGAUGGUGGUCAGAUUUCUGGAAUUUCUCCAGUGUGUCGAAAAUGAAGAGCUGAGAGACUCACUUGGAGAAAGGACUCUUACCAAGGAUGAAGAGGCAUUUGUGAAGGCUUUGAGGCCUGGUCACAUCUUGGCUUUUGCCACCGGGAGCAGCAAGGUUCCAGCCAUAGGUUUUCAACCAGCUCCUAAAAUAACAUUCAUUCACGAUGAAAGCAAACAUCUCCCGAUUGCACACACAUGUGCAAAUGAGCUUCAGCUUUUUGUGAAUGAAACAACAAUGGCUGAUGAUGAUGCUUUUCAUUACUGCUUCUUAGUAGCACUCAUGAAUGGAGCUUUAUUCAGCACCAUCUAAACAUGUUCCAAAAAAGUGAAAUUAAAAUGGUGGGUUUGUUAACUCUAAUCCUGUUCAUUAAUUGUAGUUUCAAGUAACUUUGCUUCAUACAAGAUAGUUGAAAUAAAUUCUGACUGCAUUUAAUGUUGAAAUGUAAUAAUUUUCAAAGCUUCAAUAGAUUUAUAAAAAUGCUAACUCUGUAUUUUCAACGACAAAUCAAUAAAGUCACUGGUGUAAUA